rnacentral:antisense_RNA from 1 species
CUUCACCGAACCGAGCCAGAGCGGGGUGUUCCGGUCCUGGCCGUAGGUGGCCAGCAAAGCCUGGGCCUC